AUUGAACGCUGGCGGCAGGCCUAACACAUGCAAGUCGAGCGGUUGACAGGAGCUUGCCCCCUGAUUCAGCGGCGGACGGGUGAGUAAUGCCUAGGAAUCUGCCUAUUAGUGGGGGACAACGUGUCGAAAGGAACGCUAAUACCGCAUACGUCCUACGGGAGAAAGCAGGGGACCUUCGGCACUUGCGCCUACAGAUGAGCCUAGGUCGGAUUAGCUUGUUGGUGGGGUAAGGGCUCACAAAGGCGACGAUCCGUAACUGGUCUGAGAGAAUGAUCAGUCACACUGGAACUGGGACACGGUCCAGACUCAUACGAGAGGCAGCAGUGGGGAAUAUUGGACAAUGGGCGAAGCCUGAUCCAGCCAUGCCGCGUGUGUGAAGAAGGUCUUCGGAUUGUAAAGCACUUUAAGUUGGGAGGAAGGGUUGUAGAUUAAUACUCUGCAAUUUUGACGUUACCGACAGAAUAAGCACCGGCUAACUCUGUGCCAGCCGCCGCAGUAA
rnacentral:rRNA from 1 species